AUGCGCUGUGUUAAAUCCCCUUCGUUUUCUAUAAAGCUCAAUGGGGGUUUAUCCCAUAGAUUUAACCCAUCCAGAGGACUGAGGCAGGGGGACCCCCUCUCCCCGUACCUCUUUCUUUUCUGCGUCGAGGGCUUCUCGGCUCUUCUAAAGAAGGCGCAGGAGGAGGCUGAUAUCAAAGGGGUGUCGUUCGGUUCAAACGGGCCAAUCGUUACUCAUUUACUGUUUGCCGACGACAGCGUGGUGUUCGUGGAAGACUCUAGGGAUAAUUUUCAAGCACUACGGACUAUCUUGCAGCAGUAUGAAGGUGCGUCCGGACAGAAAGUGAACUUCCACAAGUCAGCAAUUUUCUUCGGGAAAGGAACGGAUGAUACUACAAAAGAAGAGCUAAAGCAAGUACUGGGCAUCAAGGAGGAGGCAUUGAGUGAGCGGUACUUGGGGCUACCUACGGUGGUAGGGAGCUCGAAGGAUGGACCUAUCAAAUAUGUAAAGGAGAGAGCAAGAGGGAAAGUC
rnacentral:rRNA from 1 species